rnacentral:rRNA from 1 species
AAUACAUGCAAGUCGAACGAGCAAUAUUAGUGACGUACGGGUGCGUAACACGUAUGCAACCUACCCUUUACAGGCGGAUAGCUCGGGGAAACUCGGAUUAAGCCGUCAUAAGAUCAUAGAGUGGCAUCACUUAGUGAUUAAAUUACAAGAGGUAAAGGAUGGGCAUGCGUCUGAUUAGUUAGUUGGCGGGGUAACGGCCCACCAAGACGAUGAUCAGUAGGGGAACUGAGAGGUUGAUCCCCCACACUGGCACUGAGAUACGGGCCAGACUCCUACGGGAGGCAGCAGUAGGGAAUAUUGGUCAAUGGAUGGAAGUCUGAACCAGCCAUGCCGCGUGCAGGAAGAAGGCCUUCUGGGUUGUAAACUGCUUUUGCCAGGGGCUAAAAAGCCCAUGCGUGGGAAAUUGAAAGUACCUGGUGAAUAAG